rnacentral:rRNA from 1 species
UAAUGUCUGGGAAACGUGCCUGAUGGAGGGGGGUAACUACUGGAAACGGUAGCUAAUACCGCAUAAUGUCGCAAGACCAAAGUGGGGGGACUUCGGGCCUCAUGCCAUCAGAUGUGCCCAGAUGGGAUUAGCUAGUAGGUGGGGUAACGGCUCACCUAGGCGACGAUCCCUAGCUGGUCUGAGAGGAUGACCAGCCACACUGGAACUGAGACACGGUCCAG